rnacentral:tRNA from 1 species
GGCCCAAUGCCUUACUAGAUAAGGCACCAAUCUCCAAAAGUGGAUACUGUGGGUUCAGGUCCCACCUGGGUCA